rnacentral:rRNA from 1 species
GACGAACGCUGGCGGCGUGCUUAACACAUGCAAGUCGAACGAUGAAGCUAGAGCUUGCUCUGGUGGAUUAGUGGCGAACGGGUGAGUAACACGUGAGUAACCUGCCCCGAACUCUGGAAUAACUGCUGGAAACGGUAGCUAAUACCGGAUAUGACCAAUGAAGGCAUCUUCUGUUGGUGGAAAGAAUUUCGGUUCGGGAUGGACUCGCGGCCUAUCAGCUUGUUGGUGAGGUAACGGCUCACCAAGGCGACGACGGGUAGCCGGCCUGAGAGGGUGACCGGCCACACUGGGACUGAGACACGGCCCAGACUCCUACGGGAGGCAGCAGUGGGGAAUAUUGCACAAUGGGCGCAAGCCUGAUGCAGCAACGCCGCGUGAGGGAUGACGGCCUUCGGGUUGUAAACCUCUUUUAGUAGGGAAGAAGCGAAAGUGACGGUACCUGCAGAGAAAGCACCGGCUAACUACGUGCCAGCAGCCGCAGUAA